rnacentral:rRNA from 1 species
GACGAACGCUGGCGGCGUGCUUAACACAUGCAAGUCGAACGAAGAGCGCUGGAAGCUUGCUUCUAUCAAUCUUAGUGGCGAACGGGUGAGUCACGCGUAAUCAACCUGCCCUUCAGAGGGGGACAAAAGUUGGAAACGACUGCUAAUACCGCAUACGAUCUAAUCUCGGCAUCGCGGCUAGGUGAAAGGUGGCUUCUACAGGUAAGCUAUCACAGGGGGAGGAGCUUGAGUUUGAUUAGCUAGAUGGGGGGGUAACGGGCGACCAAGGCGAUGAUCAGUAGCCGGUCUGAGAGGAUGCACGGCAACAUUGGGACUGGGACACGGCCCAGACUCCUACGAGAGGCAGCAGUGGGGAAUCUUUCGCAAUGGAAGAAAGGCUGACGGAGCAACGCCGCGUGAGUGAUGACGGCCUUCGGGUUGUAAAGCUCUGUUAAUCGGGACGAAAGGCAUUCUUGCGAAUAGUGGGAAGGAUUGACGGUACCGGAAUAGAAAGCCACGGCUAACUCCGUG